GCCGGGUGUGGUGGUGCAUACCUGUAGUCCCAGCUACUCAGGAGGCUGAGGUGGGAGGAUUGCUUGAGCCCAGGAAGUCACUGCAGUGGGUUGUGAUCUCGCCACUGCACUCCAGCCUGGGUGACAGAGUGAGACCUUGCCUCUA
ensembl:misc_RNA Metazoa_SRP Metazoan signal recognition particle RNA